rnacentral:rRNA from 1 species
ACAGAGACGUCGAGCGUUGUUCGGAUUCAUUGGGCGUAAAGGGUGCGUAGGUGGUGAGGUAAGUCGGAUGUGAAAUCUCCGAGCUCAACUCGGAAAUGGCAUUGGAAACUACCUUGCUCGAGGGUUGGAGGGGGGACUGGAAUACUUGGUGUAGCAGUGAAAUGCGUAGAUAUCAAGUGGAACACCAGUGGCGAAGGCGAGUCCCUGGACAACUCCUGACACUGAGGCACGAAAGCUAGGGGAGCAAACAGGA